rnacentral:lncRNA from 1 species
UCCGGUCCGAAGUCUCCUAAAAUGACAAUUGCCGCGUCAUAGAUAAAUGGUGGCAAUGUAACGGUAAGAUACCGAAGUGCACACAACAAGGGAGCCGACGCGGGUGCAGGGCUUGACGACCAAAGCGCACGCGGGCGCUACGAACUGUUGAAAUACUUACACACCAACGGCACGCGGCCUGGAUGUGGCGCUUACUGGCGCCGCUUCUCAUCCAGCGCGUAUCGGACAACCGCACUUUGCUGCUACUGCAGUUUCUCCUUAUCUUCUGCUAGACAUAUCUAUUGGAUAAAAACGAGAAAAUAGAGAGGUGUUGACAAGGUGAAGCUUUAGCCGCGAGCUCGGCUGUAGCCUCGAUCACGGUGGGGCUCGAACCCACAUGGAAAUAGGUCACCGGGGCCGAAUCUAAAAUAUAGACACCCUAUCCAUGUCCAUCGCACCAUCCACCGCCACCAGUUCCACGACCACCGCCGCCGCACUGGCUUCACCUCUGGCCUAACCGCACCUCUGCUCCUUGCCAUACACAGAUUCGCAAGAAAUUUGCCUCAGGCACCCGCCAGUAAUCGCAGCUCUUGAAGGUACUCAACUCCGGCAGUAGCAGCAGCAGCAGCAGGACCGUCAUGUUGAUUGCAGGACCAGGCUCAUGCGGACAUACAGUGAGAAACAAGUGGGGAGGGCGUGUGUGUGGACAAGUCAGCGUGUGACGUGUCAAUUACGGAGUCAACACAUAUCAAGCGCGCAAUAUACCUCGACGGUACGACACAGUGCUGCUGCUGCUGUUGCUGUGCCGCCAGCCUCCGGCCAAAGCCCACUGUGCAGUUAUCACUAAUCCUCGUACCGUACCGCGACAUGAAAAACACAAUAGGAUGAUGCUCCACAAACUACGGCACACGGAAGAGUCACGACACCACAACCGAUAGCAACCGACCAGUUAAUCGCCCGUACAGCCGAAACAGAUUGGUAAUCUGCUGGACACAUCCCUCAACUCAAAUCAACGCACAUACUGACACUCGUAAUAGUGAAGUGCUCAGCCCCCCUCAGCACCACGACGGGGUGCCGCCGCCGCCACAGCAGCACCAACACGAGCCUCGGGAAGAAGACAGCGGAGCCAGGCGCCUCUGCCACCUAGGGAAGGACGAUAAAGGGAAAACACAAGCGCGUCAGAGAACGUCCCAUUUCCUAGAAACAGCGCACUUACCUCCUUUACCCGUCCGCGAGCCCAUAACCUGAGCGGGUAGAAACCCACCGUACGAGCAUCAGGCGAGCAUGCGGUGGUCGGGCCCUGCAUUGCAAAGUCCCGCUUCGCGCAAAUAGCGACACGAACAACGGACGCGGAGGUGGGCCUGGCGAGUGGUGCGUCUUGGCAGUUCCCCUUAGGGCUACUAAAACGGCACCGGGAAGCCUGGCGCUUCUCACCGUUCCUAUCCUUCUCUAUCUCACCUCCUAUGCACCACCCUCCCUCCUGCGGAAAAACUGCUCCCUGGUGACAGACAGACAGUGCACUCCCGCGCAGGGAAGCGAGAGAGAACUCAGGCCACUACCAGGGAGACCACUUCCGGAAUCCUGCUGUGUUUUACGACAUGCUACUGCAGGUUUUAUUUGAAACCCUUGCACCCGUACCGCACCGUACGUUACUGUACGGAACCGCACCGUACCGUGUGGCAUUCAUAUCCGCGGUACCGUGGCAGCAGUUGCCGGAAGGCGUCGUUGUGGAGGGAUAGCGCGGCGUCCAUUACCGCGACGGGCAGCGUUUCCCACAACGAGGUCAUUAAAUGCAGGCACAUACUGAGAUACACAGCAAUCAUGCUUGGAUGGCGGCUAGCAACGCUAAUCCGGACUUUGUUUUAGGGCUGGACACCUUUCCUUAAGGGGUCUGCUCCGCUGCGCUUUGCUACUGUUGCUCCUGCUGUUGCUGUUGCUGCUGCUGCCACCAACCGCCAGCCAAGUACGACUGCAUAAUCACGCGAUACGCGGCGCAGGAAAACACAAUCGGCACGGCGAUACGAAACAUGUAGUACACGCCACGAUACGGCACGGAUCCAUAUCGCCGACUUACCGCAUGUAUCAUCUGGAGGGUGCUUGCACCGUAGAUACCGCCAAGCGCCGCCGGUCAAAAGGAGGGUACGCGGUUCGGGGAACAGCUGGGGCGGGGCGGGAGGGGAUGAUAUCGUUUGCUUUGCUACUGCUUUGCUGCUACUGCUGCUGUCGCAGCAGACCGCCAGGCAGACAUGAUUGCACGCUCCCAACAAAAUGCGGAACUGAAAACCCUAAACAGUACGACCAACCGCAAAGCGCGAGGUAUCUUGAAAUCCAGGGGCUCAUGCAAGGACUGCAGCUCGUGUAGCGCCCAAUCGUUGCGCCCUCGGCAUUGGUGUUGAUAUACGGCCGCCGCGCAGCCAUAAGGACGCACCAGAGGCAGGCGGGAGGACGGGGCAGGAGGAUGGGCGGAGGGGAAGGAAUAAUCAGCAAGGUACGAUGAGGUGGUUCAUGAGGCCGUCUUGUUUGGGUUCACG